rnacentral:lncRNA from 1 species
ACUUUCUACACGUUUGUUUACUUAAGCCUCACGUUUGUAGAAGGAAUUGAGAGACAGAGAGUUUAAGACUUUGGCCUAGAUCACCCAGUUAGUAAGUGUAGGAAUUGAGAUGUGAACUGGCGGAGUUUGUCUCCAGAAUCUGUGCUUUGCUGGAUUGGAAGAGUUAAACUGUGGUGUAGAUAAGUGCUUUUAAAACAUUCAUAUGCAUGGGAAUUUUCUGGGGAUGUUUCAAAAUAAUUCCUGGUUCAUUUGGCCCAAGACAGAUCUGAGAGUCAGCAUUUCUACCAAAUGCUGCUCGUCUGCUUUGAGUGGCAAGGGAUAGACGACUUGGAUUAUAAAUGUGGGGUCUGCGUCCUAAGGAUAAGCCUCUGGGUAGCUCAGUGCAAUUAAUCUCUUUGCCAUCCCUUUGCCUGAUGUGUGAAAUGAGCAAGUUGGGUGAUUCUUAAGGUCUGUUCAAGCUUGUAAAACCCUGCACUCCCUGGCUUCCCACAUGUGGGCAGCUCCUUUUAGCUGUCAUUGGCGUUUCCCUGGCGGUGACUGUCCAGGAGGCUACAGAGAAGGAAGCUGGUGUGCGUGGCCUCCUCCUCCCCGCGUGCUGAAUUCAGAUCACAGCUCCUGAGCUUCUGGACUGACAGGAUGUACUCUGCUGUCAGCUGUUUCCUUCCAACUCUGAGAUCUCUCAGCAUCUGGCUCUGCUCCCUUCUGCCCCAUGGAUCCUCACUCCCUGUCACAGCUGAUUAGGGUGCUGGCUCUAACAAUGGAGACUGAUGCUCAAGUCAUAAACUGGAAACAAAUCAAUAUCCAUCAACUGGUGAAUGGAUACAGAAGAUUUGGCAUAUCUACACCACAAGGGAACUACUCAGCAAUAGAAAGGAAUGAACUACUGAUAUAUGCAACAACACAGAUAAAACUCAAAAACAGUGUGCUAAGUGAAAAAAAACAGCCACAAAAGACACAUAAUAGAUGACUCCGUUUAUAUGAAAUCUAAUCAUAUGAAAAGAAAAGGCAAAAGUAGAGAAACAGAAAGCAGACAUUUUUCUUUGUAACCAGAACACCAAUUUUUGGAUUAUACAUACAUCUAUUUGGUGCCUCAGGAGGUUUUUACCCUAUGGGACAGUGGACCUUUGUGAUAUCCUGGGAGAAGGAAAGAUUUGCCUUCCUUUUAUAAGUGGUAGAAAUAGCUAUUGGGAAGGAGAAACAGUGUGGUGCUUGAAAUGCUGACCUCAGACAAGUCAUUUUAAGGAAACAAUACACGUGAUGUUAUGUCAGAUUCAGAGCAACCCCAGGAAACGUAUCUUACAGAUAGGAGCUGGGCUCUCAGGAUCCAUAUUAAACCAAAAUCAGAUGUUCAUGAUACUGAAGAUCUGUUCAUAUGCUGGGAAGACUGAGAUGUUGAUUUGAAUUUGAUAACAUAACGGUUCGUAUCACAUGUUUGUGCAAGAAUGUCCAUGCAGAAGUCUGACUGCUUUUUGUGGGGGUCAACCAAGUCAGAGACUGGAACGGCUACAGAGGAAAGGUAUCUUCUUGGUUUUCCUAUGAAGUUUCUUUUAAAAACAUAAUAAUGAAGAGUUUAUUUAUAAAUGUCCUCAGAGCAGAGAUAAUAUAAGUCAUGCGUAGAGACCAAAUCCCCCAGAAAUAUUAGAGAAGUCUUCAGAAUCCAUUCUUGUUGUCAUGCACAAAUCCUUUCUGGACAUCUGUUGUGACAGGACACCAUGUUUUUCUCAGCAGCGUUUUGUAAUUUUCAGUAUGCAGGUCUGGUAUGUAUUUUGAUAAAAUUGUCUGUAAAUAUUUUAUAUUUUGCUUAUUAUAAAUAUAUUGUUUUAAUUUCAUUUUGCAGUUGCUCAUGGCUAAUAUAUGGAAAUACUAUUGGUCCAUACUAUUGAUUCAAUAGUAUUUCUAAAUACUACGUAAAGAGAGACUUGAAGUAGAAUCCAGGGAGGAGGGACAUGUUCAUGUAAGGGUAAAAGACACAGCAAGAUAGAUCUUAUGCCAAGUGCUAAAAAAGCAGGAGGAAAGAGGAGAACUCAUAGGAGAAUCAGAGAGAAUUACAGGGAUCAAUAAGAGGUACAGUACAAGGUCUGCAAAGCAAAGAACGGAAUUUUCAGGAAGGAGAAGAUGACCAACAGCAUAAAUUAUUACAGCAAAGUUAAUGAAAUCAAAGACUAAAAAUAAGUAAGGUAAUUGCACUUAGCUAUUUGGAGGUUGUCAGUGACUGGAACAUGCAGUUUCAGUUGAGUGUGGAUGACGAAUUGGACAAUGUGAACACAGCUUAAAGUAGGACAUACUCAAGAUUAUAGUCAUCAUGCAUAACAAAGUAUUAGACAAUUGAAUCUGGCCAUAUAUAUAUAUAUAAAGAUAAUACACCACUAAAUUAUACACACAUACACAUGCACCAUAAAUAGUUGUUUUAUCUAUUAAUGAAAUUAACCAUAUAAAUAUAAUAAGGUAAAAAAUAAAGAAAACACACCUAUGAUCAUCUCAGUAGAUGUAGAAAAACAUUUAGCAAAAUGCUAUAUCCAUUUAUGAUUUUAAAAAACUCUCAGCAAACUAGAAAUUAAAGGGAACUUCCUUAAUCUAAUAAAAGGCAACUAGAAAAAAUCUACAACUAAUAUCUUACUUAGUGGGGAAAGCCUGAACAAAAUUAGACAAAUGAUAUAAAUCAUUGCUCUCACCAUUUAUAUUCAACAUUGUACUAGAGGUCCUAGAAAGUAUAAUAAGGCAAGAAAAAAAUGCAUACAAGUUGGAAAGGAAGAAGUAAAACUAGAGUUACUCACAGACAACAUGACCAUGAACCUAGAUAUUCUAAAAGACUCUCUCUCUUUCAAAAAAAAAAAGCCUACUACAACUGGUAAAUAGGUUUAGGAAGGUAAUAGGAUAGAAAGUUAGUAUGCUAAGACCAAUGAUAUUUCCAUGUACUAGGAAUGAGCAACUGCAAAUGAAAUUAAAAUAAUAUUUUUUGAUAGGC